AUACGGAGGGGGCUAGCGUUGUUCGGAAUUACUGGGCGUAAAGCGCGCGUAGGCGGGCUGUUAAGUCGGGGGUGAAAUCCCGGGGCUCAACCCCGGAACUGCCCUCGAUACUGGCAGUCUUGAGAUCUGGAGAGGCGAGUGGAAUUCCGAGUGUAGAGGUGAAAUUCGUAGAUAUUCGGAGGAACACCAGUGGCGAAGGCGGCUCGCUGGCCAGAUACUGACGCUGAGGCGCGAAAGCGUGGGGAGCAAACAGGAUUAGAAACCCCAGUAGUCC
rnacentral:rRNA from 1 species